CCUUGUCUUCUACGACUUCAUAAAGAAAAGAGUAAUUUUAAGUUAUCUGCCUCAGCAUGAUGUCAUAACUCAUGAAUCACAUGGAAUUUCCCCAGCACUGUCACGGGAUCUUUACAUCCGCUAUUCAGUAUCGACUUGGUGUCCAAAGGGAUGAAAAGUGGAGAAAAACAGAAAAUUCACCACGUGAAGAACAAUAGACUUAGUUCGGUAUUAUUGGAACCUGUGCAGAACACAAUCGCGUGGCUGGCUGUGUGUGGCGUGCCAUCAUCUAAGGAGGGCAGCCUUCGCCAUCUUAGUCACAGCUGCCAUGAUGACCUACAAGAACCCCAUCCCUGAGGAUUGUGGAUGUUCCCUCCUGGAAUGGAUGAGGAAGUGCACUGCACCCGCAGCUGAGACCCAGCGCUCCCUGCUGCACCCUCACUGUGUAUACCUCAGCCUCUGCUGACAUCAACUCAAAUAGGUGGAAAGAUGACUGUGUCUCAGAGUUCAAAGCAGUGGCGAGUCAUCUCUGCGGGAGCAGUUUUAAUGGUUGCUGUGGCAUCCACAGGACCGGUCUCGCUACUCACACACAGUGCUGUAGCCAUGAGGCCCAGGCAGUGUGACCAAAGCUGGCUUCUGUCUUCCUUCCCUUCCCCAUGUUUUCAUAAUAAACUUCCAUCGGCUCAGGCCAA